rfam:Schistosoma haematobium scaffold1765_23, whole genome shotgun sequence.
AUCCAGAUGACGAGUCCAAAAGGGGAUGAAACAUCCGUCCUGGAU